GUAUCAGAAGAAUCUGUAGUCUCACGCUAAAAUCACAGAAGCAUUAAAUGUCUUAAGGGAAGAUGCUCUGAGGUUAGGCAAAUGUCUGCUUUCUGUUUAACAUUUCUCCUACUAUUUCAGUCUGACUCCAGGAGCUGUGCCUGCAGGAAUCAUCACCAUGCGGUUCCAAUGGUGCCCUACCGCUGCCAGACCAUCCUAGGAGGCAGAGCUGGGGUGUGUGUGCUCACACUAACAAACCAACAGCUACUCACUUGGUACCUGCUCCGGCGUAGACAUACCGAGAGACAAGCGAUGAGAUAUUUGAUACACUCUGCUGGAGGUGCUGAAGGUGCAACACUGGACAGGUCACGGAUGAUCAGGACUCUCCUAUGGGCUGGGAUGCUGAACAGGUCAUGGAGGAUCAUGGUGGUUCUCAAUACCUAAGGAUGCUCCCAUCAAUCAAAUAAUUAUCAAGAACAAAAGCCACAUAGUGGCAAGCACUGGGGUGACAACAAAGGUGAUAUUAUAGACAAAGAUUAGGAAAUGUGUGUCAGGGACACUAGGAACUCAUAGUAGAUGAUGAGAGAAAGCCUCGAGGAAGACCUGAAUGGUGAUGAACCAGCCAAGGAAAGAGGGAGAGCUUUGCUGGCAGAGAUAGAAGCAAGUAGAAAGGCAGGACUGAAAACCAAAGCAAAGCCAAGGUUCCCAGACCGCUGUGAGCUGGGGGGAGCGUGGAACUAGGCAGUGGCCUGGUCAUGUAUGACCUGUAGCACGUUUGGUGGGUCCCUUCUUCCCAGUUCUUCACGCCCUUCCUCCCACCCUCCAUGUCUUCCUACACAUCUUUGCUGUCUACUCACUGGUCUGAACCCCUUUCCUAUGUCAGAGGAAUUGGUCAGCUUGCAUCUACGAGGGAAAAAUAUUGAAUCUGGCUGUUGAGCAUGAAGAUAUUAAUUACUUCUCUCACCUCCUUUACCUCUGAGGGUCAGAUGAAUUAAACACGUCACACCAAUCGAGUACACUGGCCCAUUGUCAAACGGAGUCACUUAAGCAGAAAUACUGGUCAGCAAGACCAGGGGCUGAUUAGCAAGAGCAGGCAGUAUCUCUCAGACACAGGAGGAUGGCCGAGUGGGAACAGACACUUCUUACAACAGCAGAUUUGUUCCCACUAGCAAUCUUGGGGGCUGGGAGGGAGGAGCUCCUGGGACAACUCUCAACACAGUAGCAGCCUGGUGUGUUUUCUGGUCCUCCCCUGGGGAGCUAUUUUCUUUGCAAAACUACUGUAAUUUUAAUGGGCUGCCAUUUGCUCAUUAAAGUCAUCUGGGAAUUCAGUCAGCAUAUGGACCACAAAAUAGGACCCUGUAUAAUGUUUAGGAAUUUGUCAUUUAAUAAAACAUUUUAUAAGCUCUGUGAGUGCCUAUUAACU